rnacentral:sRNA from 1 species
CGGGACGUGCUGUGCAGGUUCCUCUGGUGCCCUCUCCAGGCUGAGGAGGGGCUCGGGUUGUCUCUGGUGAUUAACUCCAUCAUUGCCUAGAGAGGGACGGGGGCACACCUUGACAAAUUUAUGUCCUGCUUUUUGGCAAAUAGGGGAGGGCAGAGAGCCUCGCUUGUAUCUUCUUCUUCUCAAUUGCCAGCCGCUCCACUUAAUCCUUAUGCCAAAGUGGCAGAUCUGGGGGCCCUGUUCUGCCUCCCUUCUGCAUGAGCAGGAAUCUCUCAGGGCAGCGCUGUUAGCGAGAGCGGACAAAAUUAAAAGACUGCGAGUACCCGCUGAUUUCCAGAAUCCUGCAUGGGCCAUGUGAGAAGAUCGCCAGGAUGUUCCUGAUGGAAGCUGACUUGGGCGUGGAAGUCCCCCAUGAAGUCGCUCAGUACAUUAAGUUUGAAAUGCCGGUGCUGGACAGUUUUGUUGAAAAAUUAAAAGAAGAG